rnacentral:lncRNA from 1 species
CUGAAGACAGUGUAGAGUUUAGUGUGGUUUUUAAGUAGAAGAAUGGUGUGAUGAGAACGAAGUAUAGAAAAAGAACAAAAACAGAAUUGUAGAGGAUGGAUCAAAGAGAGGAGUGACCAGAAGGAUAGGUAGUGGCCCAGGCUGGAGUAGUUGGGGGCAGCAGUGAUGUGAGAUUUGGGGGAGCCCCACGGACAUCUCUGGCCCCCUAUCCUGGCAUCCACUGGGUCCAUUUCCCCAGCUUCUCAACUCUUCUUCUUAUCCCCUGCUCUAAUUUGCGAGGAAUUAAAAAAAAAAAAAAACCUAGAAAACUAAAUUGGACUCUCUCAGAGCUGAAAUUACUUUAGCAAAGAUAAUGGCUUCUUUUAGUUUGCAGGGUCUCGUUUUCUCUUCUAAAGGUUAAAAAUAGAAAACAGAUUAAAAUCCUGAGUAUGAAUCCUAAAAAGGAUUUCUACUCCGUCCCUGCGGGAUGAUAAAUUUAAAGGGCCAUGGGAUCUAGAAACCGCCUGAGAGACACUCUUCUGCUUAAUGCAUUCUUUUUUUCGUUGAACCAAGAGCCGAAGAUGUGGCCAGGUGCUCUGUUACAGAGCUGGUCAUUGUUGUGAGGCAGGUUUCUUCCGUUUUGCAGAGCAGACCUGCUCUUCAUCACUUCUAUUCUGGUUUCAGGUUAGGUAGGGGGUGGGGAUAGUGAAGAAAGAGAAGAGAGAAGCCUAUUUUAGCUUUUGCUUCAAAAUUAACUUUGUUUCCAAUGAAGAUGUCUAUUCUAUUAGCUUCAUUCCCUUGGGGCAUGCCCAGAACAGCAGCAUCUCCUUUCCACUCCCUCAAAUGUCCCUUUGCCCUAGAAUGGUAACCCACUUUGUGAUGUCACCCACUCUGCAGGACCCCACCCUGCUAGAAGCACCCCCAGGAUCACCAGUCAGGAGCCCCUGGCUGGCGGCUCUAAGUGGGCCUUUAUGCUCACAUUGGGAAACCAGCUGCUAAAGAACUGCAUUCCCAGAAGAGCAAUUCACCCCAAAGUCCAUCUCUCUGAUGUCACUGGAGAGCAUCAAGGAGAAGAAGGGCAGCUGGAAUGGCUGGUCAGGGAUCUCAUCCCAUUGCCAACAGGAUGUGGUAUAUGCCAUGAAUUAAUAACCACUGUUUGUUGUUUCCCUUUUUCAAAUGACUGCUUUAAUGGCAGUUAUCCUGUUUUUUUCCCACUAGUGUCUGUUGGAUAUGUUGGUGGAUGGUUAAGUAUAUUAUUUACUCAAAGGCUGCAGACCAUGAAGAGCCACACUCAGUCUGAUGGAGAAGAAUGCACAUCGUCAAGAAAGCUUGGAACUGCAUGGUUACAGUAACUGGACCAGACUUUGGUUGUCUCUCUUUGGAGAAUGAGAUGACUGAGUUUGGUGUUGCACCUGGAGCUGCUGCAAUUUGUUUGGCAGGGCACUUUGAAGCUAGGUUUCCAGGAGGAUUGGUAUACAGAAGAUUAGCAGCCAGGGGGUGGACUGUAGUGGAUGGCUAGUGUUUUUGCAUUCUGAGAAUCCAUUCCCCCUUCCUCUGAUAGCAGUACCCAGACUUUUCUUUAGAGAACCAUCCCUGCACUCUCAGCCAAUGCAUUUUGGUGGGGCUGACCAUAUCCCCAGCUCCAGGGGUGGCCAUGUGAUGAAGUCUAGACAAAUCAGAAUGUUUAUUCUUCUGGCCUUGUGAUUGGUUCAGGGAUGAGCUCGUGCCUCAGUGCAGCCUAAGGAGAAUCAACAUGGAGAGUUUUGCUGAUACUAUUAGGAAAGAAACUAGUUAUUGUUAUUGCCAAGCUGGGCGAGCAAGAAUCUGGAGCUACUGGUGGGCAUCUUUAACAUUGAUUGGUAAAAGCGUGCCUGAGAAUAAAGCCAACAUGGAAGAAAAAAAGAGCA